GUCGACGCACACAAGCCGCCGUCGCUGCCAUGGUCGACUCUCAUGGUGAGGUGAUCUACCCUCUUCUCCACAGACAGCGUGGGGAAAAUGGUAGUGCGCGCAUGGUGGAAGUGGCGGUCCCAAUAUAGGGAAGACAAUGGCGCCGCCGUUUGAAUCCCCCACCACCGGCCAUCCAUCGCCCGAUUUCUUGAGCAUCCAGUCAUCCACCACUGCCUCUGCACCACGAACCUUCAGUAGCCUCCAGGCAGAGCCUUCGUUGACAGCACUGGCUCCAUGUCGACGCAUGCAAGCCGCCGUUGCCACCAUGGUCGACUUUUACGGUGAUAUACCCUCUUCUCCCACAUACAGCGUACGUGCGAAGAAGGUAGUGCAUGCGGCAGAAGCGGCGGUCCCAACAGAAGGAAGACAACGGCGCCGCCCAGUGAAUCCCCCGCCACCAGCUAUCCAUCGCCUGAUUCCUUGAGCAUCCACCACCGUCUACCACGAACCUCCACUAGCCUCUAGGCAGAGCCUUCAUUGACAGCACCUGCUCCCCAUCGACACACACAAAAGCCGCCGUCGCCUCCUUGGUCCACUCUCACGGAUUCUCAUGCACCCACAGGACUCUUGCUUUCGCCGCCUGACUACCCGGAACACGGUCAGCGCCGCCCUGGACUGCCGUACCUCCUGCUGUGCAGCGACGGAGGUGAGCUCGAGGAGCACAUCGCACGGCUGCCAGUCACCCGCUGGUGCCAUGGGAAGCAGCUCCGAUCCGGCGACAACCUCUUGCGUCUGCGCCAUCCCUCGAGGAAUGCAGGAGUUGUAUCCGAGGAUCCGACGUUGCAUCCACUGCCUGCCAAGUGUUCGGCAAAAUGUCCAGCCGCUAACACAGUUUCAUAGGUUUUACGAAGGUGGGGAGGAUGAGUACCAGAAGGGCUCCGAACAUUCUGCGAACAUUCUGAGCACACAACAUAGCAGGAGGUAAGGCGGUGGAUUCGGGAAUGAAUAUACAUGUGAUGUGAACCUUGCAAGAAAAAAAUAACCAAGGAGUUGCUCACUAAUCCAUAUAGGAAACAUGCAUGUUUGAGCACAUCAUCGGCUAGCCAACCACUUUAAGAUUAAUUUCUAGGACCCUAUGUUUGAGUACAUCAUCGGCUAGCCU